CCUACGGGAGGCAGCAGUGAGGAAUAUUGGUCAAUGGACGAGAGUCUGAACCAGCCAAGUAGCGUGAAGGAUGACUUCCCUAUGGGUUGUAAACUUCUUUUAUAUGGGAAUAAAACGUUCCACGUGUGGGAUUUUGUAUGUACCAUAUGAAUAAGGAUCGGCUAACUCCGUGCCAGCAGCCGCGGUAAUACGGAGGAUCCGAGCGUUAUCCGGAUUUAUUGGGUUUAAAGGGAGCGUAGGUGGAUUGUUAAGUCAGUUGUGAAAGUUUGCGGCUCAACCGUAAAAUUGCAGUUGAAACUGGCAGUCUUGAGUACAGUAGAGGUGGGCGGAAUUCGUGGUGUAGCGGUGAAAUGCUUAGAUAUCACGAAGAACUCCGAUUGCGAAGGCAGUUCACUGGACUGCAACUGACACUGAGGCUCGAAAGUGUGGGUAUCAAACAGGAUUAGAUACCCGAGUAGUC
rnacentral:rRNA from 1 species